GACGAACGCUGGCGGCGUGCUUAACACAUGCAAGUCGAACGUGAUUUUUGUGGAAAUUCUUUCGGGAAUGGAAAUGAAAUGAAAGUGGCGAACGGGUGAGUAACACGUGAGCAACCUACCUUACACAGGGGGAUAGCCGUUGGAAACGACGAUUAAUACCGCAUGAGACCACAGAAUCGCAUGAUAUAGGGGUCAAAGAUUUAUCGGUGUAAGAAGGGCUCGCGUCUGAUUAGCUAGUUGGAAGGGUAAAGGCCUACCAAGGCGACGAUCAGUAGCCGGUCUGAGAGGAUGAACGGCCACAUUGGAACUGAGACACGGUCCAAACUCCUACGGGAGGCAGCAGUGGGGAAUAUUGCACAAUGGGGGGAACCCUGAUGCAGCGACGCCGCGUGAGCGAAGAAGGUUUUCGAAUCGUAAAGCUCUGUCCUAUGAGAAGAUAAUGACGGUAUCAUAGGAGGAAGCCCGGCUAAAU
rnacentral:rRNA from 1 species